CCUGGGGAGUGUUUCCGCCAUUUUUGAAAAUCGGGAGGGUUCUCGGCGAAAUAUAGUUGCCGCCGCGAUGGCAGCCUUUGCUGUGGAACCCCAGGUGCCCUCGUUGGGAUCUGAACCAAUGAUGCUAGGUUCUCCCACAUCUCCAAAACCAGGGGUUAAUGCCCAGUUCUUACCUGGAUUUUUAAUGGGGGAUUUACCGGCUCCAGUGACUCCACAACCUCGAUCAAUUAGUGGCCCUUCAGUAGGAGUAAUGGAAAUGAGAUCACCUUUACUUGCAGGUGGGUCACCACCACAACCGGUCGUACCAGCUCAUAAAGAUAAAAGUGGGGCUCCACCAGUUAGAAGUAUAUAUGAUGACAUUUCCAGCCCAGGACUUGGAUCAACACCUUUAACUUCAAGAAGACAGCCAAACAUGUCAGUAAUGCAGAGUCCUUUAAUUGGAGUUAUGACAACGACUCCUGGGACAGGGCAAAGUAUGUUUAGUCCAGCAAACAUUGGUCAACCACGAAAGACAACAUUAUCUCCUGCUCAGUUGGAUCCUUUUUAUACUCAAGGAGAUUCUCUGACUUCUGAAGAUCACCUUGAUGACACAUGGGUAACUGUGUUUGGGUUUCCUCAAGCAUCUGCUUCCUAUAUAUUAUUACAAUUUGCACAAUAUGGGAAUAUCUUAAAACAUGUGCUUCAUUUUUUGCAGAUGUCUAACACAGGAAAUUGGAUGCAUAUCCGUUAUCAAUCUAAACUGCAGGCCCGGAAAGCCUUAAGCAAAGAUGGGAGGAUUUUUGGAGAGUCCAUCAUGAUUGGUGUAAAACCAUGUAUAGAUAAAAGUGUUAUGGAAAACAGUGACAGGUGUGCUUUGUCAUCUUCAUCUCUAGCCUAUACACCACCAAUCAAAACCUUAGGUACACCCACCCAGCCUGGAAGUACUCCUAGGAUUUCUACCAUGAGACCUCUUGCUACAGCAUACAAGGCUUCUACUAGUGACUAUCAGGUCAUUUCUGACAGACAGACGCCAAAAAAAGACGAAAGUCUUGUAUCCAAAGCAAUGGAGUACAUGUUUGGCUGGUAGUACAGUGAGAGCUAAGACUCAGUCACCUGCAGGGGAGGAGGCUGCCACACUGACAUAGCAGAGCACUGCCGGGAGUCCUUCGGUUAAAUGAACAUGGUGCCAUCCCCUUAGACCAGCCCACUGUCCGUGAUCAAGAGUUCUGGCUGUGUUACAACAUGCCCACUGUGAGACAGGCAUGGGCCAGGAUUCUGUUUAUCACCCGGCUUCCUUAUGGCCCUGCUCUAACAGGAACGUUGAGGAACAUUGUGGUUCAUCAGUGUCAACUAAGAAGACCCUGUAUCUAACAGCCCUUAAAAUAUCGGGUAUUCCUCUUCAGUGUACAGUUACAUAGAAAAAUGAAGAUGACCUGGGAGAAUUCCUACUGUGUAACUAACUUUGGCCUUUAAAAUUUGUUCCUUUAUUGGAACUGGCCUCCCAUUUAAGGCUAAGAAUUGACUCCCAUCCGGAAGCGGCUCUGCGGUCAUUGAUGUCAGUCUCCUGCGUAUGUACUCUUGAUCUAUUAAAAUCAUAUGUAGACCAAUACCUUUGGUGGCUUCCUUUCCCUUCCUCCUUUUAAGAACGCAUUUUAUUUACCAGAUAAAUAUACAAAGUUAAAAUACAACUUAAUGAAUAAUUGGGUAACUACCAGCCAGUCAAGAAAUAGAAUUUUAACAGCCUGUCUCCAUAUGCUCCAUUUUAAUCUCUAUCCCACAAAAAUAAACACUUUUACAAUUAUUUAAAUGGUUUUAUUAUCCAAAUGUACAUUCCUAAAUACUGUAAUUUGCCCUUUAAAAAAAGUGAUCUCUUUAAUGAAGGAGAACUUCCCUAUUAUGGCAAAGGAAAUAGACUUCCAGGAAGUCCAGGAAGCUUAGAGAAUCCCAAAGAAGUUGGACCCAAGGAGAAACACACCAAGGCACAUCAUCAUUAGGUUACCCAAGAUUAAAGACAAGGAGAGAAUCUUCAAAGCAGCAAGAGAAAAGGAGACAGUUACCUGCCUGACUUCUGAAAAUAAACAUUGCAGGCAAGAAGGGGCUGGAAAGAAGUAUUCAAAGUUGCAAAAGACAGGGAGCUACAUCCAAGAUGACACUAUCCAGCAAGGAAAGCUAUCAUUUAGAAUGGGAGGGCAGAUAAAGUGCUUCCCAGAUAAGGUCAAGUUAAAGGAGUGCAUCAGCACCAAGCCCUUAUCAUAUAAAAUGUUAAAAGGACUUGGCUAAGAAAAAGAAGAUAAAAAAUAGCAGUAAAAUGACAACUGAACCUAAAACAAAAACAAAGAUUAAAAUAGGAACAGAAUCACAGAAAGAGAGAUCACAUGGAGAAUUACCAGCAGGGAAGGAGUGGUGGGUGAGAAUGGGGGGGAGG